GUAGAGUGGUGUAAUCCUCAUAGCUCAAAAACGAUCAGAGCUCAUUAAUUAUUAACUAACUAGAACUUUUAUGGCUCAUUAGCUACUGGUUAAAUGUCAGUGGGCUGCCUUGUGCCUGGGUCUGAAGAGAAGAGGAAGAAAGAGGGGAGUCUGAUGGACAAAGCUCUGUGGAGGACGUGGCACUGAGCAGAAACUUGAAACAGAGCUUGACUGGCUGGCAGGAUGAGAAGAAUGGACUCUUGGCUGAAGGGGAAGCAAGCACAAGCACAUAGAGAUGAGGAAGCAUGGGUGGUGGUAUAUAGGGCUUGGUGUGUUAAUCAAACUGUCAGCAAAGGAAAAAAAAAAGAAGAAGAAGAAAGGGCACAUUCUAUCCAAAUGAAGAAAAAUCUGAGCUUUCUACAACAAACACAUUUUCCAGUGGAUGAGCUUCUCACACAGUAAUUAUUUCACUUCUCCCAGAGAUUACUGAUUACAUCACACAGAAAAACUAAAUGAGGGCUGUUUUAUCUUUCUCAUCUCUCUGUGGUUCUUGUGCAAACUUAUACUUGUUAUCAUGAAAAAUGACAAAUUUGCCAUCUGAUCAAAAUGUUAACAAGGUAACUGUCAGUGAGAUGGAUCUCUGACUGUCACUGCAAGCCAGAACAUGAGGAUACAUUGAUAUUUCUCAAUACAGCCCCUGCUUCCCCAACGUUCACUAACUACAUUUCCACAGUAAGGUAAUAAAUCACUCAGAAAUAACGAGCUAUAUAGGAUCUCUGGGGUAUGAUAGAUGUGUCCUAACAGCACUAUCUGCAAGAUAGAAAACAAUUGAUAAUGAUCUAAAGAAAACCCUAAUCAACUGCCAUUUUCCAUAAUGGGGUAGAUGAAGCAAAGAUAUGAAAUCUUAACUAUGUGAUGCAUGUUAUGACAAAACCGGACUGCUCCAAAAAAAACCCACACAGCCCCAAACAAAACACAAAUGACCUAACAUUACGUAGGGUCGAAUAAAUGAAAAAUAAAGUUAAUAACACAGUCUGGAUACAAACAUUAUAUUGGACACUGGCAAUGAUGGGAUAAUCACAGCAAUUGCUGGGUCCACAAACAGCUAAAUAGUGGAGGGUUCCUCAUAUAACAUGAAUGAAGACUCUGGCUCAGUUAUUGGUUUAAUGAACUCUCCUCCAAUACUUUUAUGUUCUUUAAGACUCUUUGGGCCACAUUAUUUCUGAGCCUUUAAUUCAAUGGUUUAACCAAUCAUUUCCCCCACCCCCCCCCCCCCGCCCCUUAGCAACGUGGCCAAGUGCCACAUCCAAAGGAACCAAGAGAGAAGAGGAGAAGUCCAUAUGGAAAUAGGAGGUAAUCAAAGACAGAACACAAGAUAGAAAACUUCUGCAAGAAGAUCAUGGCUUCAGAUCACAGGGACAAAGAAGCAUGGCAUCAAACUGCCAAGAAGCUGCCUCAUAACGACAUCCCUUUAGGUUUUAAGGUUAAGAAGUCUCACAUAGCCACAGUUGGUCUCCUGCCUGUCCCCUCUGCUCGUUUGUCUUUGGCCAUUCCUGCUUCUGCUGUUUGUAGAAUACUCCAAGCGCCUUCCCUCCCCAAGACCUUGUGCCUGCUCUUCUCUCUCUCUCAGGGAUCUCUCUCCUCCCUGGCUCCUUCCCUUCAUCCAGCUUAAAUCUUCCCCAAGGAACCUGCCUUGCCCUUCGGUUUCAAAGUAGCCUCUACUACCACCCCUUUGGUCUCUAUCAGCUUCAUCGAUAGCAGAAAGAACCAUGUCUGUCUGGACCACUGUAAUUUCCAGGCUUCUAGCACUUUCUCUUCUCUAGUAGGGAUUAAGCACAGUCCCAAUCCUGGGCUCUGGGAUACAGGACUGACUAGCCUUGAAUCUAGUGCCACAACUAAGUACCUGUGUCCCACUGUGCAAGCACUCAAUUUCUAUGUGCCUCAGGUCCCUCAUUUGUAAAACAGAGAGAAUAGCAAUGCCUAUAAAUGACAGCGUUUUGAAGACUAAAUCACUUUAUCAAUGUAAAGAGCCUGAGAUAGUAUCAGGCAUACAGGAAUCCAUCAAUCAGCUGCUGUUUUUAUAAGAGCAAGAACAGAGGUAAUUCAGACAUAAAGUGAAUUAAUUCAUGAUUAUAGACGUUAGAUCAAUGAGUCACCUUCAUCAUUCCAGGUUUUUAUUUUACCAUUAGCCAAAACAGUAUUGUGCUCCUUCUAAUUCCAUAUUCUCAGACUACAUGGAAUGAAUGGGUAUUGGUCUUUAAGCCUCUUUGAGCAAUGCCAAUAAAUACAGUCACUUCCAAUUUGAGGGCACUUGGAAUAGCAGUGCUAUUGUUCCUUUGACAUCUCAACAGCACUUGAAAGUGAAAGAAAAAAAAAUAGAUUAAUGGAUGUAUUCCCUAAAGCAACAAACAUGUUUGAUGUAUAAACAUAUGUUAUGGGCAAUGACGCUGUACCUUUGGUGCCACGUCUCAACAAUUCUCUUUUCAUCUAUCCCCUAAUCAUGCAACUGAAUGCUUCCAGUAGGCCACACAGUAGGGACAAAAUGAUAGUAAGACCACCUGGCUAUAGAUACCUGCUUCUAGAGAGGCCAGGUUCCAACCCAUUACAAGCUGAUAACCAUAUGUAUGAUUUUUGCUACACUGGCCAAGUAUUUGGAUCUUUUUUAAACAUAUUUGAUUAUUUACCCUUUGAUUAGAAUUUGUGAAUAAAAAUGUCUUUUAAGAGACACAAAGGAAGGGGGUACGGGCAAUAGCUCAUUACUAAAAAUCAUUUUAGUGUGGAAAGUGGGCUUCACUAUUCCUAUAAGGCAGUCAUUUUCAAACUUCAGAGCAUCACAAGCCCCCUGUUAGAUUCUAAUAGAACCCUGAGGAAAAUGCACAUACACAUAAAUGUUCACAUAUAAUUUCUACAGGUUGAAGGACCUCCCAAAACAAAACAAAUCUAUCAACCACAAACUCCAGUGUAAAAAACUGGCUCUAUGAAGACUUCAAAUCACCCUCACUUCCUUUGCAUAUAACCAUUUUUUUCUUCAGACAAAUAAAAAAUACAAUUAAGUUUAAUACAAGAAGAGGCUAAAAACAUUAGGAUAGAAUAUUAGAGUUUAAAGAUCUUUGCCUGGUUAUGGUCUAAAGAUAUUUGCUUUGAUUAAUAUAUGGUGUAACUCAUUAAUUAAAUGCAAAUUGAAAUAAGAUAAACCUGUCCCCAUAUCAUUUCUGGUAGACAAUAAUGUGCCAGUUUUCUCUCCAAUAAAUUAGAUGAGGCAAGCUUUCUGUUACUAAAUAAUAGCAAUAUGGGACAGGAGAAAAAAAUUUACCAUGAGGUGCUUUGGAAUUAUUCACAUGAAGAACUUUUUAUUUCUUACUUUCUUUUUCACUAAAAUAGUACUUUUUCUCAUUUUCAACCAAUUUUUAAAUAUGAGGUGUUUACAUUGCUUACUGUUCAAAUUAGCAUUGCAUACUUUCAGGCACAGACAUGCUCAAAAUAGGAGUCUUUUGAAAUGCCUGCAUUCAGUAUAAAACACACUGCUGGUAGGAAAUGCAAAAUGUAAAAGUCUUAAAAUACAUUUAGAUAUGGAAAACAAAACAUUUAAAACAUAUUCACACUUUAACAUGUUUGGAAGUAUAAAGUUAAUAUCGUUUAUGAAACAAAUUUCAGGAAUCAUACUAUUGAAACACCCUCACAUCUUCAAUUAGCUGGAUUAAGGAAAAAAAAUAUUAACAAUAUUUAAAUGCAGAAAACAGAUUAUCAGGAAGAGAGAUCGUUAUAGCACCUUGUUUUCACUAACAAGCAGAGCAGACUGUAAUUGAGUUUUAGAAAUCCCUGAGGUGGUAACUCGGUAGAGAAAUCCAGACUUGGCAAGGAAAUCAAGUUUCCCUUUAAUUACAUUAUCUCAAUCAAAGAGAUAACUUUCACAUCCCUACAAAGCAAAUGUUUUAAGGAGAAGUCUGGCAAGGAAAGUAGGUGGAGGUACAGAGGGGUUAAGAGUUUCAAAUAACUUCAUAUUGGUAGGAGGAACAUGUAGAAAACUGAAGUACACUGUGAGGAAGAAGACAGAUGCCCUGGCAAAUGGUGCUGCUCCCAAAAACAUAUGACACCUAACACCUUGGUCCAUUGGUCCUGCUUUCCUAUAUCAGCCUUGGUUUUGCCUUUGUCACUGAAGAAACAUGGCAUGUUCCUUAGUGUUGAACACAUAAGCCUAAAGCUGAUCUACAGUUUCUUAAGCUGAUAAAAGGCAAAGCUAAAAUGACUUUGGCCAUGACUAUGCUGUUCGGAGGAGGAAAAUGAGAAUGUUCAGUGGAAAUUAUUUUCUUGGCAGUGUCCUUACUAGGUCAGCAAACCUCCAUUCUUUCCAAAUUUUCCGGGUCUCCUGCUUAUUUCAGGACCCAUAUAAGGAGGAUAUAAGCAGUGAUGUGUGAGAGCUGGUUUGUACCAGAUCACAAGAGCUGUUUGUAUAAUUUUCAGAAAUUUUGUAAGCUGGUAGCUUAAAAAGCCAUUAAAAAUUAAAUUGUGUAAUUUGAAAGUAAUAAAUAUUAAAAACAAAGGGAAGAAAAUAUUAAAAACUCUGUAAUUCCUCAUAAUGUCACUACAUUUUACUAUUGUCUAUGCUCUUAGGUUAUAUACAUCUGUAUUAGUCUGUUUUCAUGCUGCUGAUAAAGACACACCUGAGACUGGGUACUUUAAAAAGAAAAAGAGAUUUAAUGGACUUACAGUUCCAUGUGGCUGUGGAGGCCUCACAAUCAUGGUAGAAGGUGAAAGGCAUGUUUUAUGUGGUGGCAGGCAAGAGAGAAUGAGAACGAAGUGCAAGGGUUUUCCCCUUAUAAAACCAUCAGAUUUCAGGAGACUUAUUCACUACGACGAGAAUGGUAUGGGGGAAACUGCCCCCAUGAUUCAAUUAUCUCUUACAGGGUCCGUCUCACAACACAUGAGAAUCAUGGGAGCUACUAUUCAACAUGAGAUUUGGGUGGGGACACAGCCAAACCAUAUCAACGUCUAUUGUAUCUUGUGGUGGAAAUACUCUCAGUAGUGUGCUACCGCACGUCUCUUUCCAAGUCUGUGCAGUGACAUCAGGUUUGUAGCUUCAAUUCAGCCAUAUGAACUGGAAACUGGAAACACUACAGAUUAACUGUUUUCUUGGCUAUCUAGAUUUAAGAAAGUGAUGGGGGAAAAUAAUGAUUAUGGAGACAAAGCUUAAAAGCAUAUUGUGUCAAUAGCUGUUACAUGGUGAAUAGUACAAAAAAUUAAGAAAAUACCCUUUAGUGUUCUAUAUCUAUUAUCUGAUUUGGCAAAAAUGUCACUCAUAUGAUUGACAAAUGAGUAAAGUUUUGACAUAUAUUCUUAGGCUUCACUUUUGUCUUGUUUAUGUAAACAAAAAUGUCAACCAAUAUUCAUGUCUGAAGCACACCUGUUUUGUCAGUGACAUGAGCAACUUUGCUUAAUUGGGUAGUAACCAAGCAUUUAUUCCUUAUCUGAAUUUUCAAAUCAUGGCUGAAUCACAAUCAUAAGUUGACUGUGAUUACAGGAAUUCAACAAACAUUAACAAAAGCAUUCUGUGAGAAUCAAAUUGGCUAUAUAGAAUCUAUGAUAAAGAUUGGUGUAUAUUUUAUGAUUACUCACAAAUUGUGUGGUGCACAUUUUAUAUCAGUAAAAUUUAUAAUAAGCAGUCAGAUGUAUGAGGGUAUGUGGAUAUAUGUUUUUAUAUAUACACACAUACAUACACACACAUGCAUACACAAAAACCAGUUGUUAAUAUUUACCAGCACACCACUGGAUAUCAACACAAUAAAGAUAUACUUUAUUGUGUAUCUCAGCAAAAACUGACCACUCAACUUUUCUAGGGACAACUUUAUUAUGGUUGGAAACUAGAGGCUAAGACAUUUAUUGUGUCAUUGUUGAAGUUCCGUAAAACCAUUUCCUAUCUCUAAAGUUAUUUAUUUGGCUAUAAUGCCAAGCUACACCAGCUACUUCCCCAAAAGCAAGGCUACCAGAUGGUGACAGAUUUGAAAGCUCUUUCUCAUAUUUUGAGGGUAGGUAGGGGAGUCACGCUAUGGGACAGUAGGAAAAUCCACUUUUAGCAGGCAGGAUAGAAUGGGAGAAGUCAACACCUUGUCAGUUGCCAAUGAGCUGCUGAGAAGUAGUUACAGGGUAUAUAGCAGGAUAGUAUUAAACUGAAAGGUCAUUAAUGUGAGAUCCUUGGGACAAUAUGCACUCUGUAUGUCUCAAUAAUGUUAAAAGAUUCUGUACAAUAUUUGAUUGUAUCCAAAUAGUUUAUAACUGUAACAUUUAAUUUCAAGGACAAAAAUGAACUUAAGUCAACUAUUCCUGUGGUUUUACAUUUCAGAGAGCAGUAAGAAAAAUUCACCAAAACAAAAUAAAGCAAAACAAAAAUGGAGUGCCAAAACAGAUUUGCUAAUUUUUAAAAAUGUGUUCAAAUAAAGAUAUUUUCAAAUCCUUCCUUUUAUUAUCACCCUUAUGGCGCAAAAGAAAGCUCAUCAGUUUGCUAUUAGGAUCAUUUGGUAGCACACAAAGUCCAUUUUCUAUAUAUGUUCAGAAGAGGAAACAGGAUGAGCAUUGGGCUCAGCCACUGGAGAUCACAGCUUCAUCAUGGUUCAACCUCAUCUUCAGACACUGAAAAUAUUGCUGAAGAAACAGGAAGCAGCAUUGAGCACGGGGGGCUGCCAUGUGUCCUCUCCACUGAAGAUAGUCUGAAGGAUACAGUGACCGCAGGAACAAAAAUGCCCUCAGAAACAGCCCUAAAGGGCUUCUAGAAAGUACAUGCUACCUGAUGCUUUUUUUUUUUUUUUUUAACGAUUGAUGUCUCUGAUUUGAUUUGGUCCAAGCUAUUCUGAGAAUUCAUGAUGGAAUGAGAACAUCAGCAACUGCAGCCUAUUGGAUUUCGGUUUAGUAGAGUACAGUGCUCUGUUUGAUCAUCCACUUUUCAAGAGCCAGCUUCACAUCCUAACUGCAUCAUCCUUGCAAAGCUCUGCUACUUUGAAUGCUGCUUUUUUUCAGUCCCUGAAAUACAUGUGCCUGGGGUGUCACCAACAGGUGGGUUUUUUCCUCUGACUUCUUUCCAUGUAAGCCUCAAGGCAUGUAUAAAGGACAUGAGCGCUGCUUUCAUUUUCCAAAAGAAAUCAGCUUUAUACUGGGAAUUGCAAGCACGUGCCAGGUUUCCCAUAGUGACUUAUAUGAACUCGCACAUACUCAGGGUGAGUAAAACUAGCAGGCAGGCAGGCCUCAACCAAGAGCACAUUUGCUAGUUUUUCUUGAAAUGUUCAGAACUCUGGCCCUAAGAGAAGCUAAUGCCAGGCAAUCCCUUGCAAGGAUAGGAGGGUUAUGGGAUCAAGGCAAAAGACACAUUUGGGGAACACCAUUCCAUUGGGCAAGCUCUGAUAUGCAGAAUCUAAGGCAGCUUUCUGGACCUCUGAAUAUCAUAGCAUCGCAGUGGCUUCCUGUGGCUCUGUGGUUACAGAACAAUUUCUACCAAAUGAAGAGAAUGACAGAAGCAAGGACCUCCACAUUCCUAUCAUAUGUGACAGUCUGGAAAAAGGCAGUGUUCAUUCUUACCUCUCCUAACUUCACUCGCUCAUUCCCAGGUGAGCCUGAGGCCACAUUUCACCUGAGCAUCCCAGCUCCUACAGUCAGAGGAAAGAACAAACUUCACUCCCACUGAAUUAGGACCAACUAUUUACUAGACACUGUGCAGGUAUUAUGUUACUGUCUCAGUCUGUUUAGUUGUCACCAUAAAGAAAUACCUGAGGCUGGGUAAUUCAAGAAGAGAAGAAGGUUUAUCUGGCUUAUAGUUCUGCAGGCUGUACGAGAAGCCUGGUAUUGGCCUUGGCUUCUGGUGAGGGCCUCUGGCUGCUUCCACUCAUGGCAAGGGUGAAGGGGGGCUGUGUGUGCAGAGAUCACAUGGGGAGCGAGGAAGCAAGAGAGAAGGGAAGAGGCACCACACUCUUUUUAACAACCAGCUUUCAUGGGAACUAACAGAGUAGGGAGUAACUCACCAACAGAGAGGUCAUUAAUCUAUUCAUGAUGGAUCUACCCUCAUCACCCAAACACUUCCCAUGAGGCCCCACUUCCAAUAUUGGGGAUGAAAUUUCAACAUGAGGUUAGGAGGGCACAAACAUCCAAACCACAGCAAUUACUAGUCAAUUAUUUCCGCAGUCCAGUGAGACAGUUUUCUGAUACUUGUUUACAGGACAAGAAAUUAAGUCUUUUUUGUCUAUUAGACAUUCAUUUAUUGAGAACCAACUAUUUGUCAGAAAUGGUGCUGCAGGGCUACCAGAGAACCAGACAAAUGUGGCCCCUGACCUCAUGGAAUUUGCAUUCCUGUGGCACUCAAAGAAGUGAGUACCUAAGCAGUCAGUAAAUAACUUUGGCUGGCUGGUUGGCUAAGUGUGUAUGGAGCAGGGAGGCUUGGAAGGGGGAAAGUAACAACAUGGAAAGAAAAGCAAUUGUGCAGGGAUUCCUAGAUAAUAAGCCAAAGACCCAGAAUUUGAACUUCAGCCUAAUUCACUUUUGACUUUAUCAAGUGACAUAGCCUCGCAGAUCCCCCAUCUCUUCCUAUCUCAUAUUAAAAACGAACCAGAGCAAGAACAGUAGCAGUGGAAUCUUUCCCAUGGCCCAUCUCUGUUCGCUGGAGUCUGAGCACCAUCUUUGGGCCAAAAGCCUGGGGAAGAACAGGAUCUAAAUUCCACAUUUGUGGUGAGGACUAGAAAGUUUCAGAACAUUGCCCUUUUAAACUCAUCUUUAUUAAUAUUCUUUAAGCGCACAGGUAAUGAGAAAGUGCAAAUACAGCCCCCUCUGGCUGCAGCAGUCAGAGAGCCAAGAAAAAACUGCAUGUCAUGCCAUCCUAUUAUAAUAACAGAUUAAAAGGGCACAAACAGGGUACUAAUUAGCAGUCAUAAAAACUUGAAGCUCCAGAUUGCUCAUCUUCAUAUCUGGGCAGUAAAAGUACCACGUGUGCAGAUAACAUAGAAGUAAAAUACCAGGGUGCAAUUGCCCAGAGCUCAGCCAGCAUCAGCUGAGAGAAGCAGUUGCAUCCAGCAGCACAUCCUACACUUUCUCAAGAAUCCAAAGGCAUUCAGGUGACUGCCCAAGAAUUAAAAAUCAGCCAGCCCAGAGAGAGGCAAGUGCCUCCUAACUCAGCAAGGGACAGCGGGAGACCUUGCCAACUUCUGAUUGAUCGUCUUCAAUUCCCUUUCUCCAAGAUGUAUUCCUGUCCAUGGUCUCUCCCUGGAUUUUAUGCAGAAAGCUACUUCUGAGAAAUGAGAGGGUUUUAUUAGCAUGCAGGGGCCAAAGUUUAGCCUGAAGGAGAGAUACCUUCAUCAAUAAAAUCUUUUUUGAUUAAAUUCAGUCUUUUUUCUUGGGUCUGCUCAGAGCUUGGAAAAUAAGACGGGUGUACUUUCUAACUUUUAUCCCCAAUUUGUUCCCUGAGGAUUUCAAGGAUUCUGUUGCCAUCGGGGCACUCUGAAAGAAGAAAGGAAGGAGUAUGCUUUCUUUAACAAGUUGUCUCUUAACAAAUUCAUACCCAAUAAUUCAGGCUUGGACAUUCACUGUACUCACCUAGCUUGGCCAAGUGGCUCUGUAUUCUAUGUUAACUGUGAUCUAUAAUUUUAAAAGUAGUCAUGCAUAGCUUAUAUAGAGAACCAUCUUUUAAAAAAUACUCUAAAUUUUGUUCUAAUAAGGAGAAAAGUGUAUCUACAUUGCAUGUGAUACUGAAACUAGACAAAUUCCUUGUAGCCUUUUAUCUGACAACAGCUAAAAGGCCCAAAUUGAAGGCAAAGCAAUGAUGCAAGUGAACUAUACAAUAAGCACAAUUGUAUUCAUUUUAUUUCCAACAUUAUAAUAAGGACCAUAUAUUAUUCACUGGUAUAUAUUCUCUUCACUGUACAGUGAAAUAUAUGGGAAAAAAUCAAGACCCUUCUCUUUUAAACAUUAGCUCUAUAUCAGAAAGGAAAUGGUCUAUAUUUAUUGAUUUUCUUUGAGGGAUCUAGGUAAAUAUCACAGGGCUAUGACUGGGUCCUAGUCUCCAUACCACCAGUGAUAUGGCUUGUCCAACAUGACCUUUAGAAAGACUCAGAGUUUGGCUUUGUGUUUCUCAUCUGUCUUAGUCUGCUUUUGCUGCUUUAACAGAAUACCUGAGACUGGAAGAUUUAUAAUAAACAGAAAUUUAUUUGGCUCAUGGUUCUGGAGGCUGGGAAGUCCCAGAUCAAGGGGCAAGCUGCAUCCAGUGAGGGCCUUCUUGCUAUGUCAUAACAUGGUGAAAGGCAUCACAUAGCCAGAAGAGAGGGUGAGAAGGGCUGAGCUAGUGUUUACAAGAAACCUACUCCCAUGAUAACAACAUCAAUUCAUUCAUGACAGCAGGGCCCUCAUAACCUAAUCACCUCUUCAAGUUCCCAUCUGUCAAUACUGUUGUUCUGGGGAUUACGUUUCUAACACAUAAACUUUGGAAACACAUUCAAACCAGAGCACCAUCCUAUUCUCAGUAAUACCCUUUGUCUUAAUUUUUCCCUACUAACCUGGGAUGAUAUUCAAAGAUAUUCAACAAUGCUUGGGCACUGACCAAUAAAAAUGGGACUAGACACCAGGCAUCAAGAGGCAGUCCAGCCUUUCUAAUUCAUACUGUCUGACAUCCAUCCAGUCCCAAUUGUUUCAAAGGUUCUGGUGAUAAUAGGGGCCACCUCUCCCAAAUUUGCCUUCUUAACUGGAUUCCUAAAAGGACAAGUCAUGAAUCUCUAAUCAUAAUUCUAGCACACGUACCACAGGCCAUUAGGAAAACUAUCCUCAGAUAAAUGAAGCCUCCCCAUACCCUCAAAUUACAUCAUGAAGGUGAGACCCUUAGCAUGGUCUCUGACUCACUAGGCAACCAUGGCCAAGUGAUUUGCAUUCUUGAGAAAAACUUACCCUCCUUAUAACAGAGAGGAGGAUCCCUCAAAGAGAUCCUGAAAGCUCAAGUAGGAGAAGACACUACAACGUGGUUGGAAUGCUUCAAAAGAUAAUACUUUCUAAUCCUAAGACAUAAUUGCUAAUAAAUGGUUUCUUUUUUACGUAAGGUCAAAGAAUUUUUAAUAAAUACAGUCUUUGGUGCUCAUUAAGAAGACACUAAUUCUUCAUGGGUUCAUAAGCACACACAUAAGAAAAAUCUGCAGCAACAGUACAGUAAUAAAUGUAAAAUCCUAAUGAGAGAACAUACAUUGGCUGGAAAAGGGUAUUGUUCUUUUCUUCCUUCUUUUCUUUUGCGAAUGAUAUUGUAAUGAAUUUUCUUCAGAGGACUUAUUAGUGUCUGUUUAAUAUUAUCUCUCUCUUUCAUGUGAAAACUUUCCUUAGAAUCUUAGGCAAAGCUUUAGGCCUUCAAUGAAGACGUCAUUAAAAAAUAAUAUCUAAGCAGUGCUCAAAAUAUCACAUUACAACAAGUUAACAGCACUGUCAUAGGAUAUAGAGAUGGGAUGAUAUUAACUAUCAGAGAUUCCAGCCUGAUCUAUCAGUAAUUUCAUUAUUUCCAAGUACGAAAUUAACUUCUUUGAGAGGAUAAAGCCUGCAGGGCUCUGGAGGCCUCUUUUGAUCUAAGCAGAUUAUUGCCCUGUGGGGACUCCAUGGUGGGAAUUAGAUCUGCGUUCUUGGUGGUGUCCAUAGCUGGUUCUCCAUUUUCUACAUUCCUCAUGUUAGAAUGGCCAUAAAUACGGACUGAGCAUCAAUCUGGGACUCUUUUUCAGAUUGCCUAGAGGGCCAAACACUGGAAAAGAAAAGGGCUGCCCGUGAAACUUCUGGUUCCUGCCUUACUGAGGGCUUCAAGGAAAGGCUGGGUUUAGGGUUCCUGAACACUCUGUGCUGCCUCGGUUCAUUUCCUGUUGGGGAAGUUCUGAAGUUCAUCUGUUACAUUCCCAAUGCUUAUGUUAAUUCAUAUGCAAAAUGGGAACCCGCUUAACUAUUGCCUUUUAUUACUCUGAAAUCAGCCAAACCAGCUUAUGCAUCUUAGCAGUCUUAAAUCAGCGUUUCCCAAGUAUGAUCUUUGAAACACUAUUACCAAAAAGCUGCUCAAAAGAGAGAGAGAAAUUAUAAUAAAAAUAUCAUAGUUCAAAGUACUUUGGAAAUGCUGCUUAUUAUCUCUCUUCCGUUAGUUUCACGUACAAUGCUAAGGUCAAAGAAGUUCUUCAAUAAAGAACAGUAUUUAAUUUUGCUUAGCUGAGCAUUUUUCAAUGUUACUUGCCAUAGAAUUUCCUUCAUUUCUCCCCCCCAACACUGGCUCUCAUAAUCUGUUAUCAUUCUGAAGAACAAAGAGCACACACUUUGAGAAGAGAUGGCCCUAAGUUAAUCAGCACACUGCAUUAGGUGGCUGCUAUCAAUUUUGAUUUAAUUACACAAGCAUGCACUCAGCAUUUAUGCAACGUAAGGUCAGAAUAAGGGUUAUGUACUCCUCAAGGGUAGGUUCCCAAAUUGGUGGGAUAUGUUCCAGCCCCUCCAAGGACUUACACACUUUCCUAAGACCUGAAAAGCUAUGGUUUAAAAAUAGUUGAUCAAUCCUUCCAGUUGUCCAGCUGGGGUCAGUUGCCAACUCUGGCGGGCAAAAUAUCAGGAACCAAGGACACAAAAUAUGAGGAAGGCGUGGCCUCUUCCCUCAAGGAGGCUACCAUGGACAACUAACCACAAACCAGGAAAAGCAUGAUAUGGAAAAGGGAGUGGUUUAUUCUGCAUGAAGGGAAAAGGAAGAUUGGUAAAGACACAGGCUGCUAAGCGGGGCUCCAGUGAGAAGAAUUCCCAUUGCUGGGUAGAAGAGGACAGAUGGGUAAGCAACCUGAGAAGGACUGAGGCUGCAAAUGUGCAGGGCAUGGCCGUUCUAAGCCAGUCAUCCCCCCGACAUCACAGAUGAACCAACAGGACAAAAAUUUAAGAGUUCCAUGAUAGAGGAGGCAAACCUUAGCCAAUUUCUUCACACCAGGAAGCCACUGUGCCUAUAUUCUGAACCUUGCUGACGGUAGGUCUGGAGUGGGCCUUUGUGUCUCCCAGCAGCAGGCAUACAUAGGAGUCAUCUCUUCGAUGGGCAUUCACAUAGGGCUAGGUGUGCCCUUGCUUUAUAAAACAUAUGGGUUCUUAAAAAUUGGAUAUUCCUGGAUGUCUUGUAAGUAAAAUCAUUUUACAUGACCAUGAGGAGUGAUCCAUUUAAAGGAUCCUUGCAGGGAAGACUCUGGGGAACAAGGAAUCCACAUGCACUCUGAGAUUUCUGUUUAGAUUUUUCCUGAAGAGCUGCCUCUUAGGGGACUUCUGAAUUUAAAGAGACGUUAGAAAGCAGACAUGAUGAAACUGCGUUGUCUCCAAACUAAAAACAAAAAGAUGAAAGUAAACUUAAAAGCUACAGAUGCCAUUCGACAAUGAUUUGAUGUAAAAUAAUAGUCCAUCUAUAACUCAAUUUAGCCAAGUCCAUACCUUCUGAGAUCCUUGACUUACCUAAAGGCUCUGUCUAAAUAGUGACCCUAUAUCAUACAAGUUGAACAACAACAAAAGGAGAAACUAGCAGAUUUUUACAUCAUCGGGAGGGACAUAGCUGGUCAAACAGGCAGUAAAGUUUGAGCACAACAAAGCGAGCUUUGAACCUCCUAAGCAAACUGACAAAUUGCGCUCAGGAGUCCAGUUCCCAGCAUCAGCACCACUUUGCCACAAUGGCUUGUCUCCUAUCUCUCCUGCCUAAUGGCUUUCCAUGCCAAGGAGGGCAGUCAGUGUGAUGAAAAUAACCAUCAACAAAGCAUUUGGUGAUUAGUCGUCUGCUUUUUUAAAUAUAAUGCCUGCCAGCCAAGAUUGAUAAAUUAUUUUGGUCAUUAACAAUCUAUUUAACAACUGUAAAUUUAAAGUGAUCACUUUCCUGAGGCUUAGUGUUAUAGAGGUUAGGGGGUAGAAUCUAUUUAGCCAGAGUUAAGAGCUGGAAAAUUAAGCCAGAACACGAGAAACAAGAUUACAAAGUAGUAUUCCUCAGUGAGUGCUGUGAAGCUAUAUGGAAUCAGGCUAUUACCAAUGGUGGGGGAUAUGUUUAAUCACCUCUUAAAGGAAAAACAAUCUUAAUUAAUGUUGUAUGUCAUAAAAAUAUAAUUUAGAUGGGGAUGGGAAAUUGCUAAAGACGAAACCCAGAGCAAAGUGAAGACUUGGUUCAAAAUGAACCACCCACCCAUCAAUUAUAAAAAUAUUGCCCAACAGCAAAUCAAAGAACAUGCUCUUUGGUCAUAUUUGGGCAGCCUGAAAACACUGAUCCUUGAAAAGCGUUUUCAUACUUUAUACAAAAAAGAUAGGAAAUAUUUAAACUUACUUUAAAUUAGAAUUUUAAGUGCCAUAUUUAAAAAGCUGAAUUACUCAUAGACACAGUCAAAGUUAACACACUAUAUUUUAAAACUAUAUCUAAAAAACUCAUAAAUAUGUAGUCAGUUGUGUUGGUCAGUGAACAAUAUUAUUAUCUUUAUGCUGCAACAUUUGGACCGAACAUUUCACCUGACUAAAGUUUGGCAUUGGUCCACUUGUUUUAUUUGAUGCUUAUAGGACAUCCAAAGGGAAACAUAGCAAAUUGUUUCUGUAGCCUAUUCAUUAGUAGCACAGAGAACCAAUCCCAGCUUCAAGGUGUCAACUGGUGUUGCAUCCCAGGCCCCAUCUACCAGUAGUUCAAUAAGGAGCAAGAUGGCAGGAAUAAGAGGGAAAUGCAUCUCCCUUCAGCUUUCAGGUUUUAGACUACUGUACAUGGCUCUUUCCAAACAAGAAGAAAAGAAUAUAACAUGAACUGAUUGGUGCAGUAAACUAAACUGGAUUUAUAUGCUCUAAUAUGGAAAAAAGAUCCCUAGAACUGAUCCUCAAAAGCAUCUCCCAUUAAUGGAGAAAUAGGAGAAUGUCCCCAAGGGUGAAAGUCUGGGACCAGCAAUAUGGCAACAUUAUAAGUGCGCUGAACAGCAUUUUUGUAGGAAGUGUGUUCUAACUGCCUUUGUAAAAGGAAAAAGGAAAAUAAAACAAAGCAGCUGGACAAUACCAUUUCCACUGAUUAAAGUUCAGGGGAGCCUGAAAAGUUACUUAUGAGAUAUAGUUCAACCAUUUUCCCCCUUGCUUUCAGAUUUACGUGAUAUUAACUCCUAUGCGUCCACAGCAGCCCCAUGAUCCGCCUCAGAGGAAUUCAGUGCCUAAUACUUGACUAGGAAGAAACAUUAGGUAUUGAUGGGCAAAGAGUUUUCAUCUCAAAUGCCUCUCUGAUCAACUAGCAGUAGCUCUUGUUGAGGAGUCCGAGGCCAUAUUUAAACUCAGUGGAAAACAGCAGCAUGGGAAAUUAGCAGUUUGGCAUAGAGAUUAAGAACAUGGAUUCCAGCAGGGAGCAGUGGCUCAUGCCUGUAAAAUACCAGCACUUUGGGCGGCCAAGGCAGGCAGAUCACUUUAGACCAGCCUGGGCAACAUGGCGAAACCCUGCCUCUACAAAAAAUAGCCUGGUGUGGUGGUGCACGCCUGUAGUCCUAAUUAUUUGGGAGGCUGUGGUAAGAGGAUCACCUCAGCCCAGUAACGUCAAGGCUGCAGUGAGCCAUGAUCAUACCACUGUACUCCAGCCUGGGCAACAAAGUGAGACCCUUUCUCAAAAAACAAACAAACAAAAUGAUCAUAGAUUCUAAAUACAUAUGGAUGUUUGAAUCCUGGCCCUAUUCCUUACCAGCAUAACAACAUAACCUUAUGAGGUUAUUAUGAACAUUAAAUAAAUUAAGGCAACUUUCACAAUGUCUAGCACAUAAUUUACACUUCAUAAACAUUAGCAUCAUAACCAGGAGGACUAAUUGCCAUUGUUGCUAAUUGGCAUUGCAGAGUAGAGUUGUGGCUUGUCUUUUGCCCAUCAGGCUAUCUGUGUUUCAGAAUCUGCUCCUCAACUCAAGUGUAAAACUUACAAGCAGUGGUGGAGUGGGACAAGUCAAAUCUACACAGUUCUUUAUAUGAUUGAAUCAGUGAACUGGAUAGACUCUACCACCAAGAUGUGAUGUGUUGCGAUGGUGGUUCUGUAGUAUGUUUGGACCGUGAAAGAUCAAAAAGUCUUUCAAUGAUUCAUAUUUUCAGGGCAUUGCAAAGUGAUCAAUUUGGUACAUUCUUGACUUAAAACAAUCACUUGGACUUCUCCAAACUUCCCAGACUGCUAAUAACAUGCAAUCCUACUUCUAACCAAAGUGAAUAAAGCAUCAAAAGGAAACCUUGGUUUCAUCCCAAGUGCUACCAGCUGCUUUCACAUAUUGAAAGUUUGGCUCUACCACUAACAGGAAAGGAAACACUUUCAAACCUGGCAGGUGAUGAGAACAGACUUCAGAACUUGGCUACACUGUCAUCAGACAUCAGGGGCUGGAAUUAGGGCAGGGGUUCUCAACUGGUGACAAUUUUGUCCCACAGGGGACAUUUGACAAUGUCUGGAGACAUUUUUGGUUGUCACAACUGGGUGGGAGGUGUUUCUGGCAUCUAGUGGGUAGAAGCCUGAAUGCUACAAAACAUCUCACUAUGCAUACUCUCACUCCCCAAACUCUGAAUCUUCGGGUACAAAAUGUCAGUAGUGCCAAGACUGAGAAAUCCUGGAUUAGCACGGAACACAGAGCAGUGUGGACUCAUUGCUAAAUGUUUUCCUCACUAUACUGGAGGCUCCAGGUAAGUAGGAAUCAUUGUAUCUUCAGUGCCUAGCACAGUUCCCAGUACUUAGCAGGGGCUAUAUUAAUUUUUGUGGAGUGAAUGCACUAUAAUAGCAGAUAUUAAUGCAGGUCAGCUACCAUUUUUCUUCACAGCAGAGCAAAUAUUUCUUCAAUAUUAAAGUCAGAAAGCAAGGUGAACAGAGAAGACAUAUCAGAACAUGACUUUGCUUAUUUGGGCAUCUAGCACAUCAGACACUUCCAAUAAAUCUGUCCCACUUCCUUCAUUCCCUAUCUUCCCUAGAGAAGUAACUGAUGCCACAUCCAGAACCUAACAAUAAGUUACGUCAACUUGACCAGCACCAACAUAUUUCUAGAAUCCACUUGCUUCUCUCCUUCCAUGAAGCCUAAGCCACCAUCAUCAACAUCUCUAAUGAGUCACUUUGCUUUUGCUCUUGACCUCUAACUUCCAUUCUCCACAGAGCAAUAACCAUAUGUCCUGUUAAAGGCGUUAAUCAGAUUACAUCCCUCUUGUGUUUAAAACUUGCUAACAUCCUCACGGGGGCUUAAAACAUCUUACAAAGUCUGGCACCUGCUCAACUCUGCACUACAAUCAUAGCGGUCAUCUUCCUAUUUAACCAAAUUGUCCAAUUCCUUUGCUUCUCAGAGCCUCUGCACUGGCCUGGGAAUGCUCUUCAUCUAGAUCCUUACAUGGCUGGCACUUUCACAUAAUUCAGGAAGUGGUUUAAAGUCAACUCGUCAGAGAAAUUUUUUGACUGCACAGAAUCUUCACCUGUGUAGUCAGACAAGUUUUCUUGUCUUUAGAUUAUGAGGCACAAUCUGAGAGCUUUAUUUGCUCAUUUACGCUUGUACACUGGCAUCCCUCCCAGACUGGAGUGUCAGCUUCAUGAAAACAGAGAACCUGACUGUUUUGUUCUCUGCUGUGUCCCAAGCAAGCACAGUGCCUGGCACAAUGUAAGAAGUCAAUACACAUCUGUUGAAUGAAUAGAUAACUGAGGAAUAAAUCGAUGAAAUAAACAGUUCAUAUACAUGAACUAGUCAGAGAAAAAAGAACUCAUCUAAAAGAAAAUAUGUGUUAACUGUCACUUACAAAAGAGUUGCCUAGAAUUUUCAAAUUAAACUCCAAAUAGCAUCCUUUAUUUAACUGCGAUCAAUUCAACAUAAGACUGAAAAUCAGAAUAAUAGAGGGUAGUUAGUGUUCAUCUAGCACCAAGAGUAACUCAGAAAUUAAAUUAACAGUUUGUUAGUAUAAAUCUCCCUCGUUCUCUUUAUGAGUACUAAAUUAAAGUUCAUCCUAUAUUUUUAAAUCUGUUACAAGCAAAGAGACAAUGAAAUAAUGAAAGUAUAAUGAAAUAAUUUUACUAAUUCUUAAUACAUAACCAUAGCAAUGAUUUUGUAAGUUUCCAAAUAUGGUUCAGCAGUGUGGACCAGCAUGGCAUGAAAAUAAAUUUAAGUGUGUUUUCCUUUUAUAAUUUUUAUUACUGUGAAAGAAAAUAAUUAAGGUAUUUAAUAUUCACAAGCAGUAUCAGAGGCAAGAAUACGAGUAUGACAUUACUGACGAAAUCUGGAACAUAACGCAAGUGUAAUGUUGCUUUUUUUGGACCACGUGAUAUAUCUGAAUGCAACAAGGAAAGAAGCCAGAAACAUGUUAGCAACGAUUGGGAGGGUGAGUUGAUGGUAGCAUGUAGAGUCAAGCAAAGUCAGAGGCUGUGACAAACCAUGCUGAAUUAGCACAUGCAGUUCCUCUUGGUCUGCCUCCCACCCACCUUUCCAACUGCAGUUCUUAUCACUCCAACAACAUCCCCAAAACUUGCAGGGUUCUAAAGUUUAUAUAGUCUUGGGGUAUCUGUGUCCUUAUUUACACCACAGCUGAGUCUAAAAGAACUUUCUGCAAUGAUGGAAAUGAUCUAAUUCUGCACUGUCUAUUGCUUCUGUAUCGAGAAACUGAAUUUUGCAAAGCAUUUAAUGUUAAUUAACUUAAAUUUAGCCACAGGCUGCCAAAUUGCACAGCACAGCUCUAGACACCCUCCCUAUAGUCUGCAAACUCCUGCUCGUCCUUCAAGACCCAAUUCAAAUGUCUCUUCCUCCAGAAUCCCCUUCCUCUUCCUGUUCCCUAAAUAGCAGGUUUCAUGGCUUUAAUGAUAACCAUUUAUCACAUUCUAUUACAAUCAUUUUAUGGUAUGUUGGUCCUUCCAACUACAUCAAGAAUCUCUCAAGGGGACAGACUCUGCCUGACUCAUCUCUAAAUACUCAGUUCCGUGCUUGGCACAUGAGAAUUAUUUGAUAAAUACUUGUUGGAUGCUCAAGUGAAAUAAUGAAGCCAUCUUUAGACAUGAACAAAUAUAAGCACAGCUUACCAGAAAAGUUCUUCCCAGGGGAAGGUUUACUCCAUUUAUAUAAGAAGCUGCAAACCAGAUAUAGCUUGAGCAUCCCUAAUCUGAAAAUCUGAAAUGCUCCAAAUGCUCCAAAAUCUGAAACUUUUUUUUUCUUUUUUUUUUUUGAGAGGGAAUCUCACCCUGUUGCCCAGGCUGGAGUGCAGUGGCGCGAUCUCGGCUCACUGCAAGCUCCGCCUCCCGGGUUCACGCCAUUCUCCUGCCUCAGCCUCCCGAGUAGCUGGGACUACAGGCACCCGCCACCACGCCUGGCUAAUUUUUUGUAUUUUUUAGUAGAGACGGGGUUUCGCCGUGUUAGCCAGGAUGGUCUCGAUCUCCUGAACUUGUGAUCUGCCCGCCUUGGCCUCCCAAAGUGCUGGGAUUACAGGCAUCAGCCACGGUGCCCAGCCCAAAAUCUGAAACUUUUUGAGCACCGACAUGAUGCCACAACUGGAAAAUUCCACAUGUAGUGUUAUGAUGGGUCACAGUAAAAAUGCAGUUAAAACUCUGUUUCAUGGACAAAGUUAUUUAAAAUAUUACAUACAAUUAUCUUCAGGCUAUUUGUACGAGGUCCAUAUAAGACAUAAACAAAUUUUGUGUUUAGACUUGGGUCCCAUUCCCAAGAUAUCUCACUAUGUAUACGCAAAUAUUUCCCAAUCCAAAAAAAAUCUGACAACUGAACCACUUCUAGGCCCAAGCAUUUCAGAUAAGGGGCAGUCAAUAUGUAUGACCUUCAGAUUUGAUAGUAUUUCACCAUAUUUGUAUAUAUGUGUGCGUGUGUAUGUUUGUGUGUGUGUGUGUGUGUGUGUGUGUGUGUGUAUUUGGUAGACACUGCUUACCAAUGUUAAAAACAGAUUUCCAACAUUUCUUGAAACAAAUAUUAGAUCUGGCAAUUUUAGUCCCAUAUUUGGGCUUGGCAACAAUGAACUAGAAUGUAACAAGCAGCUGCAUCAUUUAGAUAAUAAAUAUCCUCUACAGAAUCUUUUUUUUUCUUCUUUUUUUGGUACUUUUAGUCCACUGUUGUCAUUUAUGGUCUCUGUCUUUCUCCUGCAGCCAUGUGACCUUACAACACCAGACAAUGAAUGAAGAGACAGAAAUUUCAAGUUCAGACAUUGAUUUCUCACCGACAUUAGUAAAAUAACAACAGUGACAAUAAUAGCUGCAAAAACAACAAUAAUAAUGGCUGGUAGUAUUUAUUGAACAUGACAUGCCAGGUAUUAUACUAGGCAAUUAAUAGACAUUGUCAGAUAGAAUCCUCCUCCAUGACCUAGAAAACAGCCUUAGCUUCAUUUUAUCAAUGAGGAUAGUGAGAUGCUAAGGGGCAAGCUGAAAACAAACAGAAAGGUCUUCCCCUAGUCUGCCCACCAUCAGAGUCCUCACUGCCAUCUCUUCAUUACAAGGCGACAUCCCUCUUCACUCCUCCAUGUUCCUCCCAGCCUGGAUUUAGACCCAGAGCACAAGACAAAGUGGGACCUUGGGCAACUGACAUAACCUUUCUGCAUUUUGCUCCUCCACUCACAAUGGACUUCAGAAAUAAGAGCUGACAUUACCUCCAGGGUCACAUGCGGGCACAUGAGAUGAUGUAGGUCAAACACUGAACUUCUCAGACACUUUUCACAAAUGGAAAAUGAUCUCAUCUGAGCAGGCAGAGAAUGGCUGGACAAAGGCUGACACAUCUGGAGUAGGGAGGCAUGGAAAGGACUGAACUCUCUUAAGGUAAAUAAUGGCCUUGUGGCUUUUGCUAGCACCCACCCUCAAGGAGCCCUCAUCUAGGGAGAGCAUGUCUUUGUGGAACUAAUACAAAUUUGGCUCCAUGAGGCUUGCCUAGCUUCGUGCCAGUUAGGUGAUAUUGAAAGGAUGCAAGUCAAUGGAAGGUUUAAGAAUCAGCUAUUGUAGGCCAGGCGCAGUGGCUCACACCUAUAAUCCUAGCAGUUUGGGAGGCCGAGGCGGACGGAUUGCCUGAGCUCAGGAGUUCGAGACCAGCCUGGGCAAUAUGGCGAAACCCCGUCUGUACUAAAAUACAAAAAAACAAAAAAAAAAUUAGCUGGGUAUGGCAGCAUACGCCUGUAGUCCCAGCUACUCAGGAGGCUGAGGCAGGAGAACUGCUUGAACCCGGGAGGCGGAGGUUGCAGUGAGCCAUGAUGGUGCCACUGCACUCCAGCCUGGGUGAGAAAGCAAGUCUCCUUCUCAAAAAACAAAAACAAAAAAAAGAAUCAGCUAUUGCAGGCCUAGCACUCUGCCAGGCCAGGAGUUGGCAAACGUUUUCUAUAAAGGUCCAGAUACUAAAUAUUUUAGGCUUUGCCGGCCAUAGGUAAACAAAUGAGUAUGGCCAUGUUCCAGUAAAACUUUACUUACAAAACUAGGCCAGGGCCCACAGGUAUCGUUUGCCCACAACCCCUGUGCUAGGCACCAUGGAGGCAGAGCAGAGGCUCUUCACAGUCAUCCGGCACAAUCACCAGGGGCAAAGCAUGAAGCAGCCUGUUGGAUUCCCCACUCUGGUAGCCACAGUCCUCUGAGGUAAAGGCCUGGACAGCAAGAAUGACUUAAGCAACAGACUUUCUUGGUGGCUCCAGCCCCAGACUCACCCCACAGGGCAUGAGGAGAGUGAGCCUCUCUUUCCCAUGAAUGGUUCCUCCCAGCAGUUGUGCAGGCCUGUCCGCAGAACAGGUGAGGCUACAUGGCCUUCAACCACGUGAUGUAUUGGCUCCUCUGACUAAAUCAAAGUCCACAGAUGAUAGGCCUACAAUAUCCAAGAAGUUGCCAAACAAAGAUGCUUAAAUUGAUACAGACAAAACUAAAUACCUCUCCUUCCCUUGUGCCUGCUUUGACUCCCCUAGAUGCCAUCCCUGGUGCCACUUCACACUGAGCUAUCUCCUUGCACUUGAAUCCCCCAUGUCUCAUUACCAUGUGUAUAUCCCAAGACGGGGUGGCUCCUGUUGUAGGCCACAUAUGUUUGGUUGUUGUUUGUUUUUUUUGAGAUGGAGUUUCACUCUGUUGCCCAGGCUGGAGUGCAGUGGUGCGAUCUCAGCUCACUGCAAGCUCCGCCUCCCAGGUUGAAGCAAUUCUCCUACGUCAGCCUCCUGAGUAACUGUGAUUACAGGCACCCACCACCAUGCUUGGCUACUUUUUGUAUUUUUGGUAUAGACGGGGUUUCACCAUGUUGGCCAAGCUGGUCUCGAACUCCUGACCUCAAAGGACCCACCUGCCUCAGCCUCCCAAAGUUCUGGGAUUACAGACGUGAGCCACUGCGCCCGGCCAGGCCACACUGUUUAAAAUCUAUGCAGUCCUUCUUUGAUAUGAUAACCUUGGGGUUGUUUAUAUUUCUUCCAAGUGUAUGACCAACAGGAUGCAGAGAAGCAAAAGUUUUCUUACUGUUUUGUCUGUUAACGUAACCUCCCAUUGUCUUUAUGCUUUUGUUUCUGUUCUCAUUUAAUCCUGUUUUCCUUCACAGGAUUAAGUCUGCUCAUUUCUAAACUAUUGUCUGAACUUUAAUAUUCUAACAUGUCUUAGUGUCAUGUUUACUCUUCACUGUUUGACUUUCUGAGUGAAAUAGUGAAGAAUAUGAGAGUGGAAAAGGUAUUUGGAAAGAUUCUAGGUUUUAAAAUUUCAGCUUUAGUUGAUCCUUCCUACCUGUGGGACCUUGGGUAAAUGAGUGAAUAAUCUGAACUUGAAUUGCUUCACCUGCAAGACAAAGGUAAGUAUGCCAAUCUCGGGAGAGGUAUCAUGAGGAUUACGAGUUAAACAUGGAAAAUUCCUCUUCCAACUCAAUAAUAAAAACACAAAAAAUCCAACUUAUAUGGGCACAGAAUCUGAAUAGACAUUCCUCCAAAGAAGCUAUACAAAUGACCAAGGGGCAUGUGGGAAGAUGCUCAAUAUUAGCUAUCAGGGAUGCCUCACCCAAACAAAAGGACAAUGAGAUACCACUUCAUGCUUAUUGCUUAUUCGGAUGACUAUAAUAAAAAGUUACAAAAUAACAAGUACUAGUGAAGGUAUGAAGAAACUAGAAUCUUCUUACACUAUUGGUAAGAAUGUAAAAUGGCAACGCUGCUUUGAAAAUGGUCUGGAAGUACCUUCAAAAAUUAAACAUAGGGUUACCUUAUGACCCAGAAAUUCUAUUCCUAGUUAUAUACCCUAGAGAAAUGAAAACAUAUAUCCACACAAACACUUGUAAUAUUAACAGCAGCAUUCACAGAACGAUUAUUCAUAAGAAGCAAAAAGUAGAAACAACUCAACUGUCUAUCAAAUGAUGAACAGAUAAGUAAAAUAUGGCCUAGCCAUACAAUGGAAUAUUAUUUAGCAAUAAAAAGAAGUUUGUGAAGAGCAAAGAAAACAAGCAACAUAGUGAAGAGACAAUUUACAAAAUGGGAGAGCAUAUUUGGAAACCAUAUAUCAGACAGGGGAUUAAAUUCCAAAAUACAUAAGAAACCCAUUCAACUCAAUAGUACCCUCCCCUGUAAAAUAACCCAAUUAAAAAAUGAGCAACGGACCCGCAUGGAUAUUUUUCCGAAGGGGACAUACAAAUAGCCAACAGGUUUAUAAAAAAUGUGAAAUAUCACUAAUCUUCAGGGAAAUGGAAAUAAAAACCACAGUGAGGUAUCAUCUCACACGUGUUAGGAUGGCCAUUAUCAAAAAGUCAAAAGAUAACAAGUAUUGCUGAGGGUGUGUAGAAAAGGGAACCCUUCUUGGUAGAAAUGUAAACUUGUACAGCCAUUAUGGAAAAGAGUACAGAGUUUCCUCAAAAAUUAAAAAUAGAAUACCAUAUGAUCUAGUAAUCCCACUCCUGGAUAUAGAACCAAAGGAACUGAAAUCCCCCAUCCAAAAGAGAUAUCUCCACUCACAUGUUCAUCGUAGCAUUAUUCAAAACCACCAAGACAUGGCAUCAACCUAAGUAUCCACUGACAGAUAAAUACAGACAUGCGAUGUAUAUAUCAAUAAUGGAAUACGAUUUACUCUUUAAAAAGAAGGAAAGAAAAUCCUGCCAUUCGCAAAAACAUGAUAAAACUAGAAGACAUUAUGCCAAGUGGAAUAAGCCAGACACAGAAAGAAAACUACUGCAUGAUCUUACUUAGAUGUGUAACCUAAAAUAUUCAAACUGUUAGAAACAGAGCAUGGAAUAGUAGUUACCAAGGGCCAGGCAUGGGGGAAAUGGGAAUAAUCUGGUCAAGGGUACAAACUUUCAGUUAUAAGAUAAGUAAGUGCUGGCACUCUAAUGUCUGGCAUGGUGACUAAGGCUAAUGAUAAUAUAUUGUAUACUUGAAAUUUGCUGAGAGAGUAGAUCUUUACUGCUCUCACCAUGCACACACACAAAAGGUAACUACGUGAGGUAAAGGAUAUGUUAAUUAGCUUGGUUGUGGUAACCAUAUCACAAUGUAUACGUAUGUUAAAUCAUCACACAGUAUAUCUUAAAUAUAUAUAAUUUUUGUGAAUCAUACCUUAAUCAAGCUGUAAAAAAAGAAAUGAAGUGCGGAUACAUGCCAAAAGAUGGGUGACCCUUGAAAACUUUAUGGUAAAUGGAAAAGACAGUGGCACACACCACCACAUAAUGUAUGAUGCCAUUUAUAUGAAAUGUCCAUAACAGGCAAAUAGAGACAGAAAGUAGAUUAGUAGUUUCCAGGGUUAUGGAAGGGGAGGAAUGGGGAGUGACAGCUAAUAGGCACAGGGUUUCUUUUGGGGGUGAUGAAAUUAUUCUGGAAUUAGAUUGUAGUGACAGUUACACAACUCUGAAUAUACCUGAAAUCACUGAAUUGUACAUUUUAAAUGGGUGAACUGUAUGGUAUUUUAAUUGUAUCUAAAUAAAGCUGUUACUAUAUGGAAAGUUCUUAGCUUCAUGUCUGAGACAAAGGAAGAAAUAAAAAUGGUCACUACGGUUAUCAUUCAUUCACCUGCAUUUUAAAAAUGCAGUCGGUUUUUCUAGAGACUUUUCACCCCUGUUAUUCUGAGAAUUAAAAUACUCAAACAUAUGUGUGGUGAGGUCUAGAAGAGGAGGAUUAUUGUAGCCUGGAGUAGUUAGAAAAGCCCUCGAGAAGUUUAAACAGAAUAAAGGAGGAGGCAAAGGAGAAAUCACCAAAGGCAGCAAUCUGAAAGUGAAAAGGUGGGAAUAAUUUGGUUCCCUGUGAGAGCCAUAAGGAGGCAAUUCGAUUAAGCAAAUGGCUCAUGAAUGCAAGGGAUAAGUUGAAGAGAAGGCAAAGUUAGAUUUCCAAGGGUCUUGGAAGCAUAGGCCAAGAUGUUUGGGCUUCCUCCAGCUUUGGAAUGUCAGGAACUGAAUUUAAGGAAAGCCAUCCUGCCAGUUUAUGUGGUACAAAAGGGACUGGCUGAAAUCAGAACCCAGGAAGUAUGAGUUAGUUAGGGCCUGAAGAAAGAUAAUAAGAAUGGAAAUAGGAAAGAAAUAGCACAAAAUAGUGGCUACUUCUUUUUUUUUCUCCCCCACACCCCCCCGCCCCCGGACAGCCAGUUGUUCUAAAGGGGCUAUUUCUUUAUGAUAAAGGUGACAGAAUACAGAAGAAAAAAAAUCUCCCUUCCUCCUUCAUCAACACCUAACAAAAGGAACAAUAAUAACCAUAAAAUCAUGGUUAAAAAAAAAAAAGGGAAAUUUACCAGUAAGCUCUAAAUAAGGAAUUAAGCACAAACUUGUGCCAUAAAAUUCAAAAGAGGAAACUAAUUAAAAAAAAAAAAAGGAAGGCAGGAAGGAGCGAGGGAAGGUGAAAAAGCAAAUAGGAGAUGAUUUUCAUGCAAUUUGAAGUUGCAUCAAAAUCUUCCACCUCAACUGUCAGAAACAGAUUGGAGAAAGUAUUUGAGUUGACAAAAUUAUGGGAUUUCCCUUCAAUAUUCCCCACAAUCAGGAGACAAGUAGACUGAAGUCAUGAUUUUGAUGUAGGAUUUUUCUUCUCAGUCACUUUGCAAGCUGGGAACCCCUGGCCAGUGAUGCCCGUACCAGGCCUUGCUUGGCCAUGCUGGUGUGCUCCAGCUUCUUGUGUUAUAGCUUGUACCCGUGUUUGGUGGUUCCCUGAGCUCUUGUACCAUGCCCAAGAAGAAUGAGGAUACACUGGACAUUGAAGGGUGAGGAGGGCAGGGAAGAAUUUUACUGAGUGACGAAAACAGUUUUUAGCGAAGAGGGGAUAUGGAUUUGGUCUCCCUACCUGAAGGUGAGAAAGUUCCCCUGUGUGGCUGGGCCUGGGGCCUUUUCCAGACUUAGAAUGGGAAGUGCCUGCUGAUUUGUUUGUGAGUCUGCAAAUAAGUCUAAAGCAAAGACACCACUCAAAGGUGGGCACAACAGUGUAGAAAACCAAUUAGGAAAGCGCAGGUAUAUGUAAAACAGGUGAAGGGUGGGGACCAAUCAGAGGAGAGCUUACCAAACAGAAAGGGAAAUUCUCAAUCCAGUCUGAGGAUUUAACUUGUAGCUUGGCUUUCAGGCUUUAAACUCUCUUCCACUUGAGGUGGGGUUUCACUGGGGACCCACCCCUAUCUGCCUAGGCAUUUGCCUGCCUCCUGUUGCUAUCAAUUUGGAAACCUUGGUGAAGCCCCAGAAAACCCUGGGGAGUACAAUCCCAGAACUUCAGCCCAGCCAAGAAUAGCAAUAAUUAUGACAGGGGCUUGGCAGGAAAAAAGAAUUGAUAGAACUAGAGAAUGACAGCAUACAGAGGACGAACUUCAAGAAUAAACUGGAGAUGACCCAAAGUUUCUAGCCUGGAUUUUUCAGAAUGGGGGUGAUACCAGUAAGACCAGGGGUCAGAAUAGGGGAACAUUUUAUGGUAGAAGGGCAUGCACUCUGUUAUCAGAUAAAUUAAGUUUGAGCAACUCAUCCCUUGAAUUCGUAUGUCUGUAUAAACCUAACCUAGUGCCUCUCACGUAGUAAGCCUUUUAUAGGUGUGUGCAGGAGGGAUGAGGCAUAUAAAAUUUAAUUAAAUAUGAACAAAUGAUGGUAACAAUAAACUCAGAUUUUAAAAAAUGGUUUUGUUUCAACCACUGUGGAGUCAAUAGACUCUAUGAGACUUAAAAAUUUUUUAAUUUUAAGCUGUCUCUUAGAUAUUAUAAAGCCACAGUGAGUCAUCUUGCACUUAAAAUCCAGAAAAGCCUAUAAAAGAAUAGAAAACCCGAAUACGUAACUUCCUCCUGUGACAGAAGAACAAAAACGUCAACGUUCACAGCUUAAAGACAUUUAGCACCUCAAAAAGAUGUAUCAUAGGUAAGUUUCUAUACUUGAAUGAUAUUAUAUAAUCAUAAUGCAUUGGAAAUUAAGUCAAUUUACAAAAAAAACCCCUCAGAAAUGCAAAUAACAGUGCUUUGUAAAACUGUAUGGCCUGUUUUCUGGAAGGUACUGUGUGAUUCUGGGACUGGACUUUUCAUUAAAAAGAUAAGAGAUUCAGGCAUCAGACAUGUUCAAUUAUUGGCUCCCUAAUGAAGUUCACUAUCCUGUCUAAUGGAUCUUUCCUUUUCAAAAGACCCCUUCCUCCUUGUGUAUUCUGGCAUUGCGUGUCUCUGGCAUUUGCUCUAUGAGAAUAACUGGACAGUACAAUGCUCUUGAAUACAGAGAGCUGGAGCUUGAAUGGACACCAUAGCCCCAAGGACAUGAAAACUAUUUUUUGAUUGUGUGUGUGUUUAUAAAACUUCUUGCAUAAAAUCAGUCUUUGUAAUUUCCUAGACUUCAAGGGCAUUCUUUUCAAGUUGGGGCUUCUUAAUGUGGCCCUUAAAAAUCCUAAAAUUAAAUGCAUUUUUAAGCUAUCUGUGUAAAUAUAUUAAAAAUUUCCCUCAUUAGGAAGUUGCCAGUUUAUGGCAAAGCUUUCAGAGGAGUCUGUAACACAAAGUGGAUCCAGAACCACAGCAUGUAGACCCCUAAAAAUUAAAAACAUUGAAACCUAUUUAGCAAAUCUGCAUGAAAUGAGCCAAAUUCAUACUGCUUCUGUGGAGUUGGUUCCUGGAAAUCUAGGCAUUUAGUGGUGGAGUUACAGAUGGAUCUCAAUGGCCUGCGUGAUUUUCCCAGCCUAUUGUUUUCGUAUCUGAUUAAUUAUUCUCUUAAAAUUUCCAUCCAUAAAAAAUUUCCAAAGAUAUUAGGAUCUCUCUUCACAUAGUCUUUCCUUCUUUUGAAUGAUGCUAUUGUUGUCACUUUGAAAACUGUAAAUAGCAUUCAAGAUGAUAUUUAAGUUUGUGCCAACAUUUAGUGGAAAUGUCUAAGUUUUGAAAUAGUAGGGAGCUCACAUUCCAUCUGGUGUGUUUUCAUUUUAUCUCCUAUUCUCAGUGAAUUUUAAAAGUCAGCUGCAGUGUCAAUACCCUUUCUGCUAUGCUAAUGUGACCUCCACGUGGAAAUCAAAGGAAAGGAGUUCUCAGGGCAAGUGAUUCUUUCUCAAUUGAACUAUUUAGUGUCAUAGAAUCACAAAGUAUCAGAGCUGAAAGCAGGCUUACAGGUGACCAUGAUGAAUACCUCUCAGUUUGAAGGGAAACUGAGCCUCAGGCAGAGGGAACUGCCCAUAGUCUCAUUAGCCACAGGGACAGGAGUUGAACCUCGAUAGGAAGCCUUUCUGAUGGCCCCAUAUCAGGUGGUCACUUCCUUCCCCACACUUCCAUGGCCCUUUAUCAGAGACCACCAUCCCAUGUUACUUAGCGGUUUCAACUUUGUAGCACAGUUACUGUCACUAAUUUCUUACCCAUGUGUAGCAGGCUAAUAUUUCAAAGUAAUCACUGGUGUGCCAUUUCCUUCCUGACCAUCUCUUGGCUAAAGGGAAGUGCAUCUAUUGCUUAGCAGUAGUCUCCUUCACUCACCAGCUUAGCCUUUAAUUCAAAAGGCGCUGCCCCAGUGUGAGAGAGAAAUGAUUCAUGCAGGGAUAAGGACACAGAAGAGUUCUAACUGCCCACCCCCAGAGUUUAAAAUAGAGUUUCAAGCUGGAUAAUGGACAGAGUCAAGAGAGAUAAAGCAAGAAAGAGUGCAUGUGUACAUGAGUGGGCACGUGCAUGCAUGUGUGUGCAUGUGUGCACUGGGGCAGGGUGUGCUCUACCCUUGCCUUUUCCCCAACCCCCAGGCUGAAUCCUGAGGUUGGGUAAUAUAUGAGUUUUCUAUUUGCUACUAUAACAAAUUUCCACAAACUCAGUGGCUUAAAACAACACAAAUGUAUUAUCUUACAGCACUGGAGGUCAGAUGUCCAAAAUGGGUGUAAUGGGUUAAAAUUCAGGUGUUGGCCAGUCUGCAUUCCUUUUUGGAGGCUCUUUGCCUUUUCCAGCUUCUAGAGGCUGCCUGAAUUCCCUGGCUUAUGGCUCAAUUCCAUCUUUAAGGCCAUUGAUGGCCAGUUGAAUCUUUCUCAUAUUGCAUCACUCUGACACUACUUAUUUUGCCUCUCUCUUCCACCUCUGUGAUUAUAUUGAGUCCACUUGGAUAAUCCAAGGUCAUCUCCUUAUCUUAAAGUUGGCUGACUAGCCUCUAAUUGAAUCUUCUACUUUAAUUCUCUUUUACCAUCUAACAUAUUUACAGGUUCUGAAAGAUUGGUACAUAGGCACCAUUUGGGAGGCUAUUAUUUGGUCUUCCACAGCUGACUCACUGCAAGCCAUCCCUUUGAAUUUGAGACUCUAAGAGUAGAUUGAAUGUGCAUUCAGCUUUUUCCAUCCAGAAUUCUGGUAGUACACAGCUUUGCAAAGAGAAUAAUGAAGGACUAUAGCAGCAACAUGAAUGUCUGCUGGAGGCACCUAAUUUCCUGCAGGUCUUAGCAAAGUAUGUAAGAACAGACAAGUUUUUUUUGAGCCCAUGAGAAGAACUCUGACAAGCUGGCAAAGGCCAAAGAGUAAGUGUCCUUCAUGUGCUUGUGACAAGAGACUAUGUCAGGACCAUGGACACCUCUAGGAAUGUAGGAGGCCAAAGGUCACCAUCCUGCAAAGAAUGAUGGCAUUCCUUACGGGUAUCAGAAUGGACCAAAGAUGCACACAAGGACCAGGCAAAGUGGAUUACUUGGACACCAGAGGCCAAGGAAACAACAGCCAAGGACAACAGAAUCCCUGCCUACCCCACACGACAUGUUGCUCAUUAAGGCCCCAGAAUACAGAAUCUGAAUUGAGAGAUUAUAAGCCAGAAUAUGACUGAAUGAAUUACAGGCCUGAACUGACAGAAACGGCACUGAACUUGCUGAGCAAAACCUGGCCCAGGGCUGAUGAGAUGGUUUGCUUUCACAGCCAGAAAUUCAACUGAACUUUGGGAGUCAAGAACAUUUCAUUUUUUAAUAGUCCAACUGGUGACUGUGAAAGUAAUCAUUGUUAUACUUGGCACUCAAAUGAACCUCAGACACAGCAAGAGUUGACUUGGUGAUUGAGAAGAAACUGGAGACAAGACAAAACAAAUGGGAAUAUAAAACUGUAGACUAUCACAUCAGCACAACUGGCUAGUUUAUUUUUAUUUAUUUAUAUUCCUUUUUAUUUUUUUGAGACAGAGUCUCGCUCUGUCACCCAGGAUGGAAUGCAGUGGCACAGUCUCGGCUCAGUGCAAACUCCACCUGCCGUGUUCAAACAAUUCUCCUGCCUCAGCCUCCUGAGUAGCUGGCACUAUAGGCACGCACCAUCGACCCAGCUAAUUUUUUGUAUUUUUAGUAGAGAUGAGGCUUCACCAUGCUGGCCAGGCUGAUCUGGAACUCCUGAUCUCAUGAUCCGCCUGCCUUGGCCUCCCAAAGGGCUGGGAUUACUCGCAUGAGCCACUGCGCCCGGCCCUACUUUUUAUUUUUUUAGGUGGAGUCUGGCUCUGUCACCCAGGCUAGAAUGCAGUGGCAUGAUCUCAGCUCACUGCAACCUCCUCCUCUGGGGUUCAAGUGAUUCUCCUGCCUCAGCCUCCUGUGUACAUGCGAUUAUGGGCACGCACCACCACACCUGGCUAAUUUUUGUAUUUUUAGUAGAGACGGGGUUUCACCACGUUGGCCAGGCUGGUCUCAAACUCCUGACCUCAAGUGAUCCGUCCGCCUCUAUCCCAGGGAGUAUCUUUAUUUUUUUUUCUAACAAGUCAAAGAGUAGAAAUACCAAAAAAGUCACCUCUUUGGGUGUUUCAGCUACUUAGCUAGCUCACACACACAUGUAUUUCCCAUGAGGUUUUGAUCAAAACUAAAGUCAAUUUUUUUCACUAGGUUCACCAAACAACUGCCAGUAAAUAUUGGCUUCUGCCAAUGAAUGAAAAAGAACACAGGAUGUCUGCUCUUAAAAAGUGACCCCUGAUGUUUCCUUCACAUUAUCAAAUUAUUGCAUACUCAUUAUAUUAUGUUUGGGAAAUGCAAGAGAAUAUGAAGAAAGGAACAGGAGUGUAACAUUCUAUUUGAAGCUACAAUCUCUCUUAAUUUCAAGGUACAUGUGCUUCCAUUCCAUUCUCCAUUUAUAUGCCACUCUUUCCAUUCAAUAUUAUAUCCCAAUGUAUUUUUUCCCAGUGAAUUUAGAAAGCUUAUUUUGCCAAGGCUGAGGAGGUGCACCUGUGACACAGCCUCAGGAGGUUCUGAGGACAUGUGCCCAAGGUGAUCAGAGCACAGUUUGGUUUUAUACAUUUUAGGGAGACAUGAGGCAUCAAUCAACAUACAUAAGAUGAGCAAUGGUUCAUUCUGGAAAGAUGGGACAACUUGAAGCAAAGGCAAGAAGACUCUAAGUGGGGAGGGAGCUUCCAGGGCAUAGGUAGAUAGGAGACACAUGGUUGCAUUCUUCUGAGUUUCUGACUAGCCUCUCCAAAGGAGGCAAUCAGAUAUGCAUUUAUCUCAGUGAGCAGAGGGGUGACUUUUAAUAGAAUGGGAGGCAGGUUGCCCCUAAGCAGCUCCCAGCUUGACUUUUCCCUGUAGCUUAGUGAUUUGGGGGCCCCAAGAUUUCCUUUCACAUUUCCCCCCCUUCUCUUUGAAAAAAUCUUUUGGAGGAAGCAUUUUAGAAGAAAAUGAGUCUCUGGUCUCAGGUUUUGUCUCAUCUCUCAUGGCUAGGAUGGCUUAUUCCUAGAUGGGUAGGUCUUGAGUUAUUAGGUAUGUUCAUUUUUAGCAGGUUGUAAGUCUCAUGUUCUAUAAAGAAAAAAUAGGGGGAGGAAGGAAAAAACAACAACAACAAACAAAAGAACAAGCCUGUAAAAUCCAUAUAGGCCAUAUUACUCUGAAGUCCAUACAUCAGUAGGCAGGUAUGAAAGUGGCUUAUGUAUGUAAAUAGGUUGCUGUUAUCUUUUUCUGAAGUUUCCGUUGUCUAGCUUCAGUUCACUUGGCUUUACGAAAGCACAGCUUAGUUUUUGGUGACUCCAAAUUAGGAAAGAUGGGAAAAAAAAGAAGGAAAAAAAAUUGAAAACAUUGUUUUGCAGACUUGUAGCCCAGAAAAAUUAGAAUUCAUUCCAAACCACAGAAAAUAAUAAAAACAGGCAAGACUAGAAUCUAACAACAGGUAUACUACAGUUUUUGAAAUAUAACUUUUCUCUCUCCAGUUUCCCAUUUUUACUAAUGAUAAAUCAUGGUAGGACUAAUUUGCUUUAUUAUUCUUGGUCUGAUUAUUUGUGUACAGUGUUAUAUCAUUAAUAUUAUUCAUAAAAACUCAUUUGAUGGCUACAUAGAUGAAUAUAUAGUAUUAAAUAUAUUCCUCUAUUAUUUGGCAUUUAAAUUGUUUCCCAGGUUUAGAUUUUUCAAAUUAAUUAGAUCAGUUGUCCAAGUUUUAUAGACACACACUCACACACACUCUGAUGUAAACUGGAACCAUAAUGCAGGUAAGAGCAUUUUGAACGUAGAGGGGAUGACACAGAAAUGCCUGGUAUUCUCUGGGUUGGGUGUAGACACAGUUCCAUACAUGAAGGUGUGUGUUGACCAGCCUAUUUUGGAUUGUCUAUCUUGGAGAGUACUGGUGGGCCUUUUAGGGGAGCAAUUUAUCAAGCUAAUUUUCAGGGAGAUUCCAGAAACGGGUACAGGGGACAGAGCUGGCCUUGGUGAUUUGAUUCUGGAGUUACCCACAAAGUUCCACUGUGCCUCUAGACUAAGCCUCAUAUUCCAGCUUUAAAAUCCCAUUCUUUUCUCAGCAGGCUUUGUUGGUUUGAAAAAAUACCUUGGCAUCUCAGGAAGGACAACAAUUUGAACUACUAUUGUAAUAACUGAGGUAAAAGUUCUUUCUCAGGGGGAGGUUUUGACAGGAGGCAGGCAGUGCCCAAGAAGUGGGGAGACUUGCAGCUGAUAAAGGAAAGCCACGGACCUGAGGAUUCGGAGAACCAGGCUUUGAAUGCAGGGGGCUGGGGAAGUGCCAGGUUCAGCUCAACAGUCAUUUCUUGACAACCUACUCUAUUAUGAAGUGGUAUUUUUUGGGUGCCGGGAGGCAGAGACGAUGAAGAUGAGUAAGAUGCCUCUGGUAGUUCAUAAAGGCAGCAGAGAGAAAAGAACCCAGACUCUGGAGCCAGACAGCCUAAGUAUGAAUCUCAGGUCUGUUUCUUACUCUCUCUGUGUCCUCAGAAAAGUUUUCAAGUCUGCCUAUGCCUCCGUUUCUACACAUGAUGGAGAUAAAUGUACCUUAAUGCCCAAAUGAGCACUUCAUUGUAUCUACUAACUCAUCAGUAUGCUAAUGUCAUUAUCAUAUCACAGUCUCCCUCCACAUUUGAGGUAUCUCCAACUAAUGAAAAUUUUGUUUCCAGCCUCUUUCAAGGAGUCCAAUUCAGCCUUAUCCCAGAUCACCAAUAGAUGAAACUAGCCCAAUGCCCCAGGGAAAGAAGGUAAAUGGUAGACACCGCAUGUGGAUGGAAAAUAAUUUAGGAAAACAAGUGCAGUUGUUUAUUCCAGGUCACGAAAAGGAAAUUCAGCCUCAGUCUUCAAUAUCAACUGAUAGGGUCAAGAUUACCAGAGAAGCCAGCUGAAAUUUCAUAUAUAGAUUUGACCUAAAUGUGCAAUGUCCUUUCAAUAACUCUGAAGAGCUUACUAAGAGAAACAAUUUUUUAGAGUCGCUAAAAGGAAAUUCAGCCUCAGUCUUCAUAUCAACUGAUAGGGCCAAGAUUAACAGAGAAGCCAGUGAAAUUUCAUAUAUAGAUUUGACCUAACUGUGCAAUGUUCUUUCAAUAACUCUGAAGAGCUUACUAGAAGAAACAAUUUUUUAGAGGGAAAAUAUAUGUUGGAGCAAGGUUACAUUUCCGUGCAAAGGGAAUAUUCUAUGAGUUCCUUAGUUACCACUAAUGUAAGAAGGAUUUCCAGCAGGUACUGGUGCAACUGGCCUACAAGAUAUUUAUGGUCCAUUAAGAGUUGUAAGCAAGACUGUUUCUUUUUCAGAAAAAAAGCAAUUUUCUCUUAAAUAUUUUAGUGUGUUAUGACAUGAAUACACUAUAGGGCAAGCAAAAGUAUUUAAGUGGUUCAGCACACAAAACCAGCUCCAAAAGGAUGACCUUGGGAAUUUUAGAAGCUUGGCUAGAGCAUGUUGAUGACUUCCUUGUGUUUAACAAAAACUAUAAAAAGGAGUUAUAAUAAAGUACCUAGAUGGGGACUACUGGGCCAUAUCCUAAAAGCAGAGAAAAUUCCUGACUUUGUAAAAUGUCAUUUCUUUCACUGUAAGUCUAAAUUACUGGUAGUGUGUCUAGGACUUAUAAAUUUAUUGGAAAUCCAGUGUGUGUGUUGUGUGUCGUGUGUGGGUGUGUGUGUAAAUGUCUCUAAGGUUGAACAGGGAUAUGAAAACCAUUUGGGAUUUAGUACUGGAAGUCCCAGUGUCUAAGAAAAUCGCUUUUCUCCCUAUACAUGGGUUUUCCAUAAAAUUGAAGGAUAAUAUUUUCCUUAGGCUAAAGCAAAGGGUGAUAGAAACAGGGACGGCUUUGUAGUCAAACAGACUUUGAUAUAAACAAGCUUUGCCAUGAGCUGGUUAUGAGGUUUUGACAUAGAUAUUUACUCUCUGCAAAUUUAGUUUCAAUUCAAUGGUAUGAAUGAUAUGCUUGGCACCUAGCAGACAGUCCAGCCCAAUGUGUAUUCUCAUUGACAGUAAUAAUUUGAUUAUUAUUCUCAAAUAUUACAUUUAUUUAAAAUAGAUGUAUUACUAGUCUCAGUGUAUUCUCAAUGACAAUAAUAAUUGUAUUAUAUUAUUAUUUUUCAUUAGUGCUCUCCCUAGGAGCAAAGACUGCGAACUAUAGUUGUUUAUGACCACUAACCUUACACUAGAAGCCCAGUAUGAUUGGGUAUUUUUCCCCCAUUUUAAAUAUGGGAAACAUAAGAUACUGAGAUUUAAAUAGCAAGUUAAACAUUAAACAGUUUGCAAUAAACCACUAUGUUGACUCAAGGUGGAGAGAAUUUAGAGCUACACAGGUAUACCAGCUAUUUCUUGAUUUCCUUGAUUAGAAAGAAAAUCUGGCAUCAUUCAAAUUCCUAUUCUAAAUCUGGGGAAGGUCAUAACAGUCUCCACAAACAGCUGCUUGCCAGUAAGCUGAAGCAGUUUGAAAGCAUUCUAGAGCAAAACCAUCCAGAAGAAAUCUAAUGCAUGAUACAUAUGUUAUUAAAAGUGUUUGGUAGCAACACCAAAACAAGUACAAAGAAACAGGUGAAAUUAAUUUUAGUGAUAUAAUUUUUAACUCAACAUUACCAAAAUAUUAUUUCAACAUGUAACUAUUAUAAAACAUUAUUAAUGAGAUAUUUACUUUUUUUUUGGUAGAAGGCUUUGAAAUCCAAACUGGAUUUUACAUUUACAACGCAUCUCAAUUCAGACUGGUCACAGGUGGCUAGCUGCUACCAAAUUGAACAUUAAUGGUAGACGUCACCCCGCAGUGACAAAAAUAUAACCACAUUUGAACACUCAAGCCGGGAUUCUAAACAUCAGGCUAUGUUUCCAGGACUCUAUGUCUCCAAAAGCAGGCAACUUGGAGGCCUUAGGAUUCCUUCCUGCUGGCAUGUGGCACAUGAAUGAACCUUGCUCCAAGCUAAGAGGUUACGGGAUUUAUUUAUACAGGUUGUUUGAAUUACGUGUAUCAUUCUUUUGUCUAAAGAAUGACAGGUGAUAAUUUAAAAAUAAAAACAUUUACAAAUGCUUUGGGACUUUAAAAUUGUAUUAAUUUUUAUCUUCUGUUUCCCCCUAAUUCUUGCUUAUUUUGAUUUUCUUCAUUAAAAGAGAGAUAAAGUUAAAUGUUUGGGGGCUUUUCACUUUGGGGCCAUUAUAAUUUAUAUUGAGGGAAUCGUGUCAAUGCUUAAUUCAUAUCUGUUUUAUCUUUACCUAGUUUAUCCAUUUCUGAUCAUAAUUUAUUUUUCCAAUAGUCUUUUUUUUUUUCUAUCCUUAAUCCCUAUACUCUCAUUUCUCUAAGUAAAAUAGAUUUGGAAAAACUACUGAGGUCUUGGUAGUUUGCUUUAGCAGGUUAACUCCAAACUUAUCAAAACUUUUUGGACAAUUUUAAGUGACUGUUUAUUAAUAGCUAUGUCAAGAACCUUGAAUGUAAACCUAAGAUUUUUUUAAACACUGAAACAGCCCAUUAUUCAAGCACUGUAGUUAAACUUAGGUUUCAUUGCAGCAGCCACUGUGAGACUGAGAGCAGAACUGUGAGAAGCAGGUAGGAAGACAGAUGGACUCCAGCAACAAGGACACCUCGGAGGAGGCAUUUUCCUCCUUCACCGGCAAGCACCUUAGAGCUUUCUGAUGGAAUGUAUCUGGUUGGAGCGAGAAUUCACUGUGGAGGGCAGAUAGGACUCUGCACAAGAAAGCCUGAUUCGUGAAAUAAUGAGAGAGGACCACAUGGAGUGGUUUGAUAGAGUGGAUUUACUAUGGAUGCUAUGGAUAGAGUGACACGUGAUUAAAUUUUUCUUAUUUCUCACUAACAUGCGAUUGAACGUAUUCAAACAACAUAGGAGAGCAAUUUUGGGAAACUAAUCUAGGGUGGCUUACCUCAAAGCAAACUCUAGGAAAAAGCCAUGGCAUCCUUUGCCUUGAAGCUCAACCUGUAGAUACCUGCAUCCUCCUCAUCAAGCACUCUUCAGCCUUCUUUCAUUACUUUUCCUCUUUAGUGUCCAAUGACUUCAUGAUCUUCCUUGGAGGCUCCAGCUCACCAUCACUACCAUUAUAGCCCUCCAUGCUUCUCAACAUUCCUCAUUUGCUCAGCUCUAGCCUGGGCUGGGCACAGUGGCUCAUGCCUAUAAUCCCAGUACUUUGGGAGGCCAAGCCAGGAGGAUUGCUUGAGGCUAGGAGUUUGAGACCAGCCUGGACAACAUUGCGAGACCUGUCUCUACAAAAGCAUUAGCCAGGUGUGGUGGUAUGUGCCUGUAGUCCUAGCCACUCAGGAGGCUGAGGCAGGAGGAUCACUUGAGACCCGGGGUUUGAGGCUGUAGUGAGCUAUGAUUGGGCCACUGCUGGCCAGCCUGGGCAACAAAGUGAGACCCUGUCUCUUAGGGAAAAAAAAAAAAAAGAGUUAAUAAAAUGACUAACCUGAAUCAUAUAUUGUGACAGUUAAUAUUGAGUGUCAACUUGAUUGGACUGAAGGAUGCAAAGUAUUGUUACUGGGUGUGUCUAUGAGGAUAUUGCCAAAGGAGAUUAACAUUUGAGUCAGUGGACUGGGAGAGGCAGACCCACCCUCAAUCUUGGUGGGCACCAUCUAAUCAGCCGUCAGCAUGGCUAGAAUAAAGCAGGCAGAAAGUGGAAAGAGCUGACUUGCUGAGUUUUCCGGCCUUCAUCUUUCCCCUGUGCUGGAUUCUUCCUGCCCUCGAACAUCGGACUCCAAGUUUUUCAGCUUAUGGUCUCUUGGACUUAUACCAGUGGUUUGCCAGGGGCUCUCGGGCCUUCAGCAACAGACUGAAGGCUGCACCGUCAGCUUCCCUACUUUUGAGAUUUUGGGACUCGGACUGGCUUCCUUGCUCCUCCGCUUGCAGAUGGCCUAUUGUGGGGCUUCACCUUGUGAUCAUGUAAGUCAAUACUCCUUAAUAAACUCUCCUUCAUAUAUACAUCUAUCCUACUAGUUCUGUCCUGCUAGAGAACACUAAUACAUAUAUUAUCUGAAUAUUUGUUUCUGUGAGAAAAAUGGGCACAAAUAACUUUUAACCAGAUAAAUGCUUUUCUGCUAAUUUUGUGUCUCUCUUUUGAGGAACAUAGAGAUUUAGCUCAGUAAUAAUCUGACAUAGGAUAGGGUAAACCAGAUGCUUACCCAGCUUUCUCAUUACUAAAAUAGGUAGUCAAAGAGCAUUCAUAGAUACAGAGGGAGCAUUUGAGGUCAUAGGUCAUUAAAUUAGCAUUACUAUAUGCUUAUUUGUUAGUUUUAUCACAUCUGGUUCUUUGAAUAAAAAGUCUCCAUUAAUUUAGAAGAACAUAUCAAGUUGUUAUCUUAUUCUGAGUGAGAGACACCAAAGUUUUCAUUCCAAAAUUCUGAAAUACCCAGAAACUUACCACUCAGUGGGAGGACAUCAGUAAACCCAGAAGACAAAAAGCUAAUUAACUGUCUCACUGAAACAUUCCUUCCUUUUUGAAAAGUCAACUAGGGACCCAUGGACUCUGAGCCCAUUGUCAAAUGCCGUGUGAAAGAGAUCCAAGUUCAACAACAAAUAUCAUCAGCAAUAUAAUGGUUCUCUCCAGCCCUCAGGGCCAAAUGGCCUGCAUUUUAGCAAGUUGAUUUUGCUCAUGAAUUGUGUUAAGCCAAGCAAUUGUUUCCCAUGACAUGCUUGAACCCACAGUUGCUUUGUCUAUGAAAUUCAUGGUUGAAUUUGUCCAAUUGCUGAUUGCUAUUCCCACUUGCUUUAGUAAUAGUCACUUCCUUCAUCAGUAAUGGGUUUUAUAUACAGUGCACAGUCACAACCAUUCAAUGUCACCCAUAAGCAUUUGAUGAAUUGUCCAAUACAGUUAUGAGAGUUGGUUAUUUGGGAUACAGCUAGGGUAAGUCUUACUGAGUUAAUGAAAUGAUAUGACAUUAGGCCAUGGGUGUUUCCUCCCCCACAUUGGCUAUACACACUCUUUUAUCUAAGGACGCAUUUGGGUCAUUACCAUAAUCUUCAUCAACUUGUCAAGAUAAUGAAGGGCCCAUUGAGUUCAGGGAAGGCUUGGCAUAAUUCAUGAAAAUUUAAAGAACAUAGAUGUAGAAAGAGUUUGGGAGCUACAGAUAAAUAAGAUCUGCAUAGACAACCACAAAGGAAGAGCUUCAGCAGACAAUCUGCUUUGGAAGGGGGAGAGUUUGAGCUCAGUUUUGAGACAGAAGAGAGGCUCAUACUCUGAAAUGUCUAAGACAUACUGCUGGAGGAACAGAAGGUGAAAACAAACUUAGAGAUGAUAAUCAAGAUUGGAAAGAAAGGAAGAGUAGCUCUCGAGCCUGCUUUCAGCAAAUCCUACAUCUGUAUUUGUUAUAGCCACCACACAAAUCUAGGUUUGGUGGGAGGGGGCAAGUUAGUUAUCAACUUCGACAUGUGCCUAUCAGACUUGCUUAGCAAUCAGACAAGGUUUAUAAUUGCUUCCGCUAACCUUUCCAGAGUACCACAAUUUGUAGCCUUCUGCACACUGAUUUCUGACCAAAGGAUUCUGUUCCAUCAAUGCCCCAUUAAAUUCACCUCAGAUGGCUGAUGGCACCAUGUCGAAGUCUCACCCAGUGUGGCUAUGAGUUAGUGAAUUGACCGUCUGAAGAGCAAUAUAUAGUCUCCUUUUAAAUUAUGUUAGAACUAGCAGAGAAUUUCAGGUUCUUCUAGUUCAACACCUUGUUUUUUUUUAAAUGUGUUCAUUCAUUUUCAAAUAUUCACUGAAGGUCCACCCUAGGCCAGAUUAGAUCCCUGCCCUAAAGACUGUAACACAUAAUUGGGGGAUGCAGGUAUUGAAUAAUAAAGUAAUAAAUUAUGUCAAGUGUGGGAGGUGUUAAGAAGGAAAUAGGUAUGGCGAUAUAGUAGAGUUACUCUAGAGGGGACAGAGGAUUAACUAUUACAGAUGAAAUCAGAGAACAGUGAAAAGGACCCUUUGAGGAGGUUCUGCACAUGUAUCCCAGAACUUGAAGUUAAAAAACAAAAAAAACUCACCUGGGGCCAGAGCACUGUAAAUGAAUAGGCAGGGAGAUUAAACAGAUGUUUCAGUUAAACAGCAUGCCCAGUAUACCAGACAGAAGAUCCUGGGGAAUAGUAAUCUUUGAGUAGCAGAGAGAAGAGGAGCAGCCCAUGAAAUAGGCAAGGAUCUUAAACUCCAAUGCCUUCAGGAGCUAUGCAUGCACCAUUAGCCAGUGAAGCAAGCCUAGGUAGAAGGCAGUCGUGGCAACUGUAUAGGCCUAGAGAAUGAGCAAUAUGCCUAACAGCAUUCAAACUCAUUAAAAAAUACUUUACAGUCACAAUAAAGCAAAUCACCAAAAAUACUUUGCAGGCAAAAAUAAAACACAUGUGAAGAGGCAAGCAAAGCCCAAGGACCAUCAAUAUGCAAUGCUGAGCUGCAGGAAAAGCAGGAAGUAGGCUGGGAAUGAGAAAAAAAUAAAUACAGUGUGGUUUCCUCUAAGUUAAAAAGAAAAGGUUUUACCUUUUAUUUCCAUGAACUUAACAAUGAAAACAAUAUGUUUCACUAGGCAGUCACCCAAACAUUGCAAUACUGAUCACAAAAAACCCCCCACUAUUUGUUACAGAACUUGUAAAACCUGAAAAUGGCGGUAAUGAUCAAAUGGGUCAAAUGUGUAAAGAGAGGCACCACAAAUCCAAGUGGCCCAUGCACUGACCAAAUGUAGAUAUCCUCUUGAAGAAUUGUGGCCAUGUGCUCUGUGCUUGAGUGAAUCCAGGGAUGGGAAGCUCACCCCCUUGGAAGGCACUCUUUAAGUGUUCAUUUUUUUUCACUUUGACCCGUUAUUAUGGAGAGCUAAUGAUAUCUGCCACUUUGUAGUCCGAUACUCACAGAUCUGCCCUCUGGAGCCACAUAGAAUGUAUUUAAUAUCUUUCCACCUGCCAGCCCUUCAGAUAUUUGGAAACAGUGACUCUGUUACUAUCUUCCCUCUACAAGUCUUCCUUUUUCCAGGCAAAACAUUCCCACCAUCAAUUAGUCUCCAAAUCUGUUUUCAGACCCAACCACCUUUCUUAUGAACCUUCUUAUUUGUCACUAACCAUCUUAAAACAGUGCCUAGAAAGAACACAAUGUUCCUAGCCAAUUUAUACUCUGGGGCUUCUUUAGGCAUAAUUUUCUAUGUCUGCAGCAGUAGAAAUACAAUUACAUUUUAUGGAGCUCAGUCUCCUGCUGUUCCUGUUUCCUACCUCCCACCCUCCAAGGCAGUCUGUUUGUUGAAUGUCCUGAACAGAUGCAUAAUCUAGAGCAAGUGCUCCCAUCAAUAUAAAGAAUGCCAUCCCUCAUCACUCCAUCGCUUCUGAUUAAGAUCAUUUGGUCUAAUGUACAUUAAGUUCUAUUCCAAUAAUGCCUGUGCGGUACUGCAUGCUUUUCAUGCCUCUUUCUGGACACUGUGUUAUUAGAUACUCAGCCUGGAGAAACAUUUCCAUACAAAGAGGAAGAUAAAACUGAGAAUGAAUGGUUAAAGGCAAAGAGAAAAUUGGGAAUCUCACCCUUGGAAAGAAUGGUAGAUGGGAACAUCCAAUGACCUGGCUUUGAAUCUGGUUCUCUAUUUACUAACCAUUGCUACUUAAAGAAAAAUAGUAAUAAUAACAGUAAGAACAGAAACUACUAUCUAUUAACAAAUUCUUGGUAAGUACCAAGCCCUGAAAUAAGCCUUUCAGGCUACAAUAUCAUAUGGUUAGUAGAUGCCACUGGGAUUUGAACUUACUUCUGCCUGUUUCUAGACUUCAAUCUCUACAUAGUCUUGUACCACAAUUUCCCUUAGUGGAUACUGUCUAUACUACAUAUGACUUAUACCACUGAUUUUUAAAAAAAGAAAAACUCUCACAGUAAUUACUUCUCCUGAGAUGAUCCUCCAAAAUGUGGGAAGUAGAAACAUGUGUUUUCUUUUCUGUGGGGCCAUCAGAGCAUGCAGACAAGGGCAAAGGAAUAAGACAGGAGAGAGAGGCCAUACACCAACCACAGCACUGUACAUUGUGUCUUGAACUGGGCUGAAAAGUAACCAUGCAGCUUCAUUUUAAGCACAGUUGGAACAUCGACAAGAUUUCAAGGUGACUGUUCAGCCUAAGGAAACAGUGUUUUCAAGCACUUUUAUGCUACUUUAGCAGUAUUUACUAGUAUAUAAUUCACGUGCUAAUUUAUUCAUUAAAACAGUCGUAUUUGGCAACAUUAACCUUAGUUUACAUUAGUGAGAUUGGUAUUUGUAUUUUAAUUACAUCUCUUUAUAAUUACUCUAUAAUUCUGAUUUUCUUCCAAUGUGAACUAAGCCCUUAUCAAUCCCCAAACUGCAUUCCACAUCCAACGAAAAUGAGUUCAAAUUAUAGUUUUACAGAAAAUGGCUUUGUAAAACCCAGAGAGCCUAUUCCCAAAGGUAGUCAUGCAUCAGAGUCUCCUGGGGAUUUCCUUAUACAAUGACUGAUUCCUGAGUGCUGUGCAAUCUACUUGAUCAGAAUCUCCAGCGACGGGACCUCCUGGGAAUUGAGACCUGCAGCAACUGGUCCACAAAUCAGCACUUAGGGACUGGUGACUAGACUAUUUCCACUCUACACACAUCCAGUACAGCUCUUGGAAAACAUACAAAGCAAAAGAUAGUAAGGGUUAUCCUAAAGGCAGAAUAACCAGCCACCUCACGGAAUCCAAUGUGUUCCAGAAACAUUAAUUAUACGUUUCAUUAUUAACUGCUGACCUAUUGUUCUUUAUUUUCAGGGUUUGAGUUGCUGUUUUAAUUUCAUCACUGCAAAGAAGCCCUAUAGACACACACACACAAAAAGAUGCAUAGAUUUUAACUGGUCCCUGGAAACAAGGUAGAGAUAAUCAUGUGGUUUAUUUGAUAGAGCCACAUGAUAAACAAUCGAGAUAAACAAUGUGUUUUAAAAAGCAUUCUCAAAGAGUUAGAACAGGAAUGUCAAAAAGACGGCAAAUAUGAUACCUACCUCCUAUCCAAUGCCCUUGGCAGGCGUUGCUAAUCAAUCACAGCAUUUUUCCUUGCAUCCACAAACAGCCUCAAAGUCCAUUUAACCAAUCACUCCAGGGCACUAGUGCUAUCUAAUCUGC